rnacentral:rRNA from 1 species
UCGGUUGAUCCUGCCGGAGGCUACUGCUAUCGGGGUUCGAUUAAGCCAUGCGAGUUAAAUGUUCUUCGUGAUCAUAGCGAACUGCUCAGUAACACGUGGAUAACCUACCCUUAGGACCGGAAUAACCCCGGGAAACUGGGGAUAAUACCGGAUAAGCCAUAGACGCUGGAAUGCCCUAUGGUUCAAAGCUCCGGCGCCUAAGGAUGGAUCUGCGGUCUAUCAGGUUGUAGUGGGUGUAACGUACCUACUAGCCGACGACGGAUACGGGUUGUGAGAGCAAGAGCCCGGAGAUGGAUUCUGAGACACGAAUCCAGGCCCUACGGGGUGCAGCAGGCGCGAACACUUUACAAUGCGGGAAACCGCGAUAAGGGAACCCCGAGUGCCAGCAUCAAAUGUUGGCUGUCCAGAUGAUUAAAAAUCAUUUGUUAGCAAGGGCCGGGCAAGACCGGUGCCAGCCGCCGCGGUAACACCGGCGGCCCGAGUGGUAGCCGUUUUUAUUGGGUCUAAAGGGUCCGUAGCCGGCCUGAUAAGUCCUUUGGGAAAUCUGGCAGCUUAACUGUCAGGCUUCUAAGGGAUACUGUCAGGCUUGGGACCGGAAGAGGUAAGGGGUACUCCAGGGGUAGGAGUGAAAUCUUGUAAUCCCUGGGGGACCAUCUGUGGCGAAGGCGCCUUACCAGAACGGGUCCGACGGUGAGGGACGAAAGUUAGGGGAGCAAACCGGAUUAGAUACCCGGGUAGUCCUAGCUGUAAACGAUGCUCGCUAGGUGUCANACACGGUGCGACCGUGUUUGGUGCCGCANGGAAGCCGUUAAGCGAGCCACCUGGGAANUANGGUCGCAAGGCUGAAACUUAAAGGAAUUGNGGGGG